UCCUCUCUCUCUCUCUCUCCUCCCUCUCUCUCAGGUGUGUCCUGUGCAGUGUCAGCAGCCCAGAAGGAUGAGUUGAUUCUGGAGGGGGAACGAUAUUGAGCUGGUGUCUAACUCUGCCGCUCUCAUCCAGCAAGCCACCACGGUCAAGAAUAAAGACAUCAGGAAGUUCUUGGACGGUAUCUAUGUGUCUGAGAAGGGCACAGUCGUCCAGAAGGAGGAUUAGAGCGGCUCUGAUCCAACAAGCCACCACGGUCAAGAAGAAAGACAUCAGGAAGUUCCUGGAUGGGAUCUACGUCAGUGAGAAGACGACUGUUGUGGAACAGACGGGCGAAUAACGAUACAUCUCUGGAACUCACUGUUGACCAAUAAAAUCAUUUUUUUUCCCUCCUCCAA